rnacentral:rRNA from 1 species
AGUGAACGCUGGCGGCGUGCUUAACACAUGCAAGUCGAGCGAGAACGGGUUAUAGCUUGCUAUAAUUGUCAGCUAAGUGGCGCACGGGUGAGUAAUGUAUAGGUAAUAUGCCUCUUACUAAGGGAUAACAAAUGGAAACGUUUGCUAAUACCUUAUACUCCUUAUUAACAGAAGUUAAUAAGGGAAAGAUUUAUUGGUAAGAGAUUAGCCUGUAUUGUAUCAGUUAGUUGGUGGGGUAAUGGCUUACCAAGACUAUGACACAUAACUGGUUUGAGAGGAUGAUCAGUCACACUGGAACUGAGACACGGUCCAGACUCCUACGGGAGGCAGCAGUGGGGAAUAUUGCACAAUGGACGAAAGUCUGAUGCAGCAACGCCGCGUGGAGGAUGACACAUUUCGGUGCGUAAACUCCUUUUACAUGAGAAGAUAAUGACGGUAUUAUAUGAAUAAGCACCGGCUAACUCCGUGCCAGCCGCCGCAGUAA